CUUCGACAGGCAACACAGAGAGGUGCUGCUGGGCUGGGGACUGAGCUUUAGGGCCCACCUUGGAUAAGGGCAGGAAAAACCUCAGGAAGACAAUGUUAUAGAGAGCUCAUUUUCACGAGCCUGGAGCUGUGCCCAUCUCUGUCUUUGGUGCUGCCCAAGAUGAGGUAGAAACAACACAUCUGCCCAUCAGGAAAUAGCACAGUCUUUAGUUCUGGAUCCCGCUUACCUGAGGAUCCCACUUACCUACUUACAUAUCUGCC
rnacentral:lncRNA from 1 species